CGGGACGGGUGAGUAAUGCUUGGGAAUCUGGCUUAUGGAGGGGGAUAACGACGGGAAACUGUCGCUAAUACCGCGUAGAAUCGAGAGAUGAAAGUGCGGGUCCGCAAGGCCGCAUGCCAUAGGAUGAGCUCAAGUGGGAUUAGGUAGUUGGUGGGGUAAAGGCCUACCAAGCCGACGAUCUCUAGCUGGUCUGAGAGGAUGACCAGCCACACCGGGACUGAGACACGGCCCGG
rnacentral:rRNA from 1 species